rnacentral:lncRNA from 1 species
AUGGACUUCUCAAAUUUAUUUUAGAUUGAAUUCUUUACUAUAUUACAUCUUCUCCACAUAUGGCAUUUCUGCAAGCUUAGGAUCCUCAUUUGAAUCUAGUUACAUUAAGAAAAUUAAGAGAACUUUGCUAAUGUCUCUUCUUUUAGAUGGCAGGAAAAGCUUCUUUAGGUUUCAAACGAACCCCUUGAUCCAUCUCUCACAGAAGGGAUAUAAGCACAAGGAGAAGAGCACUCUUUCACCUGAAAAGUAGCUUUUUAAAUACUUUUAAGCACAGCUACAUACUUCCCAAAAAAACAGCUUUUUAUCUACUUUUAAGCACGGCCAAACGUGAUCUGGUCAUGAAUCUCCAUGUUUCUUCCAUCUGACAAGCAUGGAAAUGCAUCGCUUAACGAUGUAAAGUUUAGCCUUCUGCUCCUUGGCCAUGUUACUGCAUUUUCGCGUAAACUCACCGUACCUUUGCGACGAACUUCGUGGCAAGGAUGAUGACUUGUUUGAAGAAGUGCCGCUACUCCUCUGUGAAGAACUCCUAGAUAGAUUGAAAGAAUUUUUCUUUGUUAAACUCCUUAGAAGGGGAGAUUUUUUUGAGCUCUUCUGGGAAACACUCCUUGACAGAGAGGGAUUCUUAUCAUCUUUUGAUAAUUGCCAUUUCUCAUCCAUAUGGUACUCCAUGACUAUCUGUACUUGAUAUAACUUUUGCACCUUUCUCUCUUGUGUGUUACCGUGUGAUGUGUGUGAGAGAGAAAGAUAGAGAGAGAAAGAGUUUGAGUGGCUGAUGAAGGUGGAGUGGACAGAUUUGAGAAGGGCCAUU